rnacentral:rRNA from 1 species
UGCAAGUCGAGCGGAACGAAGAUAGCUUGCUAUCAGGCGUCGAGCGGCGGACGGGUGAGUAAUGCUUAGGAAUCUGCCCAGUAGUGGGGGAUAGCCCGGGGAAACUCGGAUUAAUACCGCAUACGCCCUUUUGGGGAAAGCAGGGGAUCUUCGGACCUUGCGCUAUUGGAUGAGCCUAAGUCGGAUUAGCUAGUUGGUGGGGUAAAGGCUCACCAAGGCGACGAUCCGUAGCUGGUCUGAGAGGAUGAUCAGCCACAUCGGGACUGAGACACGGCCCGAACUCCUACGGGAGGCAGCAGUGGGGAAUAUUGGACAAUGGGCGCAAGCCUGAUCCAGCCAUGCCGCGUGUGUGAAGAAGGCUUUCGGGUUGUAAAGCACUUUCAGUGAGGAGGAAGGCCUCAAAGUUAAUACCUUUGAGGAUUGACGUCACUCACAGAAGAAGCACCGGCUAACUCCGUGCCAGCAGCCGCGGUAAUACGGAGGGUGCAAGCGUUAAUCGGAAUUACUGGGCGUAAAGCGCGCGUAGGUGGUUGAGUAAGCGAGAUGUGAAAGCCCCGGGCUUAACCUGGGAACGGCAUUUCGAACUGCUUGGCUAGAGUGUGGUAGAGGGUAGUGGAAUUUCCUGUGUAGCGGUGAAAUGCGUAGAUAUA